AUGGCUUCACCGGGGGCGUCCUGCCCGGCGGCCUACUCGUGGGCGCCGCAGGACGGGGCACAGCGCGGGCAGACGGUCUUCAUGCAGGUCUGCGCGGGGUGCCACGUCAUGCUCCCCUACGCCGGCCUCCGCGCGGCGGCGCAGGGCGAGGUGGGAGCUCAGACGGCCGAGAUCAUGGUCGCAGAGGAAGCUGUGACGGCUGCGAGACCCCCAUCCGGUGGCUCAUACACGCCGGACCUCACCGCCCUCACCACAAAAAUCCAUGAAGGGGCGGCUCUGUACACCACAGGGGGCAAGAUCAUGACAACGAUGCCUACGAUGCUCACCGGCGGUGUCUCCAUGUGCCAAGAGCUGACGAAGAUGAUGGCGCCACCAAGCGCCAUGUGGAUGCAGUUUGCCCAGCCCUACAUUGGGACUAUCCAGAUGGCUUGA
rnacentral:rRNA from 1 species